GAGUUUCGGCCUUCCCUAGCGGAGUUCGUAUUUCCUCAGCAGGAUUGAUCUUCAGAGAUGGUUGAUCUUCCCCAGUGGACCUCCUUUGGUUUCCCCGUCAAUCACCAUUCAACUUGCUCCCCAGUUAGAGUUUCCUCCUGGUUUCUAAGCAGUUUUUUUGUGACUUUUUCUCUGUAGGGUUGUCUCCCAUUUUUAUGGUGUUGACCUAAAUUUCCCUACACAUUUGAGGUUUC
rnacentral:lncRNA from 1 species